rnacentral:rRNA from 1 species
CCUACGGGGGGCAGCAGUGGGGGAUAUUGCACAAUGGGGGAAACCCUGAUGCAGCAACGCCGCGUGAGUGAAGAAGGUCUUCGGAUUGUAAUGCUCUGUUCUUGGUGAAGAUAAUGACGGUAGCCAAGGAGAAAGCCCCGGCUAACUACGUGCCAGCAGCCGCGGUAAUACGUAGGGGGCAAGCGUUAUCCGGAUUUACUGGGUGUAAAGGGAGCGUAGACGGCUAUGCAAGUCUGGAGUGAAAGGCGGGGGCCCAACCCCCGGACUGCUCUGGAAACUGUAGAGCUAGAGUGCAGGAGAGGUAA